AUGGUACUCCCCAAUUCCUAGCAGGAGAAAAUGUGUAAAUACAUAAAACAUAUAUUAAAGCUUUAAUAUAUGCUUUUAUGUAUUUACACAUUUUCUCCUGCUAGGAAUUAGGGAGUACCAU
rnacentral:miRNA from 1 species